AUUGAACGCUGGCGGCAGGCCUAACACAUGCAAGUCGAACGGUAACAGGAAGCAGCUUGCUGCUUUGCUGACGAGUGGCGGACGGGUGAGUAAUGUCUGGGAAACUGCCUGAUGGAGGGGGAUAACUACUGGAAACGGUAGCUAAUACCGCAUAACGUCGCAAGACCAAAGAGGGGGACCUUCGGGCCUCUUGCCAUCGGAUGUGCCCAGAUGGGAUUAGCUAGUAGGUGGGGUAACGGCUCACCUAGGCGACGAUCCCUAGCUGGUCUGAGAGGAUGACCGGCCACACUGGAACUGAGACACGGUCCAGACUCCUACGGGAGGCAGCAGUGGGGAAUAUUGCACAAUGGGCGCAAGCCUGAUGCAGCCAUGCCGCGUGUAUGAAGAAGGCCUUCGGGUUGUAAAGUACUUUCAGCGGGGAGGAAGGGAGUAAAGUUAAUACCUUGGCUCAUUGACGUUACCCGCAGAAGAAGCACCGGCUAACUCCGUG
rnacentral:rRNA from 1 species